GAUGAAGAACGUAGCGAAAUGCGAUAAGUAAUGUGAAUUGCAGAAUUCAGUGAAUCAUCGAAUCUUUGAACGCACAUUGCGCCCGUCAGUAUUCUGGCGGGCAUGCCUGUUCGAGCGUCAUUACGCCCCUCAAGUCCCCUGUGGACUUGGUGUUGGGGAUCGGCGAGGCUGGUUUUCCAGCACAGCCGUCCCUUAAAUUAAAUGGCGGUCUCGCCGUGGCCCUCCUCUGCGCAGUAGUAAAACACUCGCAACAGGAGCCCGGCGCGGUCCACUGCCGUAAAACCCCCCAACUUUUUAUAGUUGACCUCGAAUCAGGUAGGACUACCCGCUGAACUUAAGCAUAUCAAUAAGCGGAGGA
rnacentral:misc_RNA from 1 species